GGUCCCCCCUACCCCUGGCCUCCUGACCCCUGUCAUUCUCUCUCUCCCCACCUCUGGCUCUCCCAACCCUGCUAGGAGCUGCCGUUGGGAUCUAGAAGCCAUGGCACCAGAUCCAUUCCACUCUGCAGCCAAAGUCUUUUCGAAUCCAUCAUCCAGUCUCCUCUUCUCUAUUUCCCCACCGAUUCCCACACCAACCAUCUGAUCGGAUAACUCCAUUGUCCGCUGCUUUACGUGGUGCCCCCCCCCCCCCCCAAGCAAUUCUGCAGCGCCCUCGAUAUCUACUUUGGACCGGGGGCGCAACGGCAUGAUGGUGAAUCUCGUAUGCUUUUAUCCCUUUUUCCUAGUGUAUAAGAAUUAAUCUAUUGUGAUUUUGAAAACAUAAAUGAUUUAACUUUAAUAGGAUUUGUGAGCAAUGCUCUGCCACUGAUUGUGAGGCUGUGGAUCAAUGAACUAGUAGUAAUAGAAAUGCAUAAUUCUUUCUAAAAAGUUUAGGGUUUCGGUCUCAUUUCUGAGAUGAGUAGAUGGCUCAUUUGUUCAUGUCACUGGGGUAUUCUGAUCUGCCAGCUUGAUGAUUAUCAUUGUUUGCAUUAAGAAUGGAGAUCUGAAUGCAUUUCUCCAUCAAAGCCCACUUGACCGCAGUGGUGCAUAAGUACCACAACCCCCUGAGCUUGCUUUGACUGCAACGACAUGCAUGUGAAUAAGGUCCAACCUUACAUGCAUGAGUCCUGGUCUUGUAGGAUUAUUUUCCUGACACAUACAUAUAUUACUUCUGCUUCUCAUUCGUUCUUCCACUGGGCAGGCCAACUGGUCAAGCGGGCUCCAGAGAAUGCAUUUGCAGACGCAAAAGUUAUGAAAGGCUUUGGCAGAUUGAACGAAUUCAUGUAACUUGUUCAACAAGUUCUUUAUCACGAAACAUUUGACCGAUCGAUGUUUUCUGCUCAUGAAGCUCUUCUGAUUUUGAAAGUGCUGCAAUGUUGGCAGUAGGACACGGACACAGGUGUCGGAAUCCGACUCGGAUUUGGAUGUCUGAUUCGACAAAAAAAAUUUGGACACGUGAAAUACAACACGAAAUACAACUCGGAAUCCAACAUGGGUGUCGAAAUCCGACUUGGAUUCGGAGUGCCUGAUUCGGCAAAAAAUUUUAGACACGGGUGUCCAGCAUGAUAUGGGUUUCACUCUGCCUGUAAAUGAGCCUAGAUGAUUGUUCUCUGGAAUACGAUUCUUUUCUUGGAAGAAACAUAGCAGGCACGUGAGUUGCAAUAUUUACUAUUCAUCACAAGGGCAAAAUUGGCAGAUGAUGAGGAGCAGACAAGGACAUCUGCAGUGUCCCUGAUUCAAAUCAGGGACACAAGAACAUGAUGACUCCGUCUAGGGGAAUCUCUGAUGCUAAUUCUCGGUUUUUUUGUAGCUUAUUUUAUUGCAAGCUGUGUCUUUUUCUUGCAUUCUUGUUUGGGUUUAUGUGUUUGUGACAGGACUGCAUAUACUUUAAGCGCCGUGGUCAAAUGCUCCGAAGUUGAAACUUUUUGUUCUUUGGAUUUUCUUUUUGGUAUAACAUACAUUGUAUGCCAUGUACGGACACAUAUGGAUCCAUGGAUGCUUUUUGAGACAUAGGGGUCGUUAGUGCUAGUAUAAGUAACUUCUAUAGCAUACAUAAUGCAUGCUUGCAGUUUGCAUGGAUGCUGGUUUCAGUGUUUGUCAUGGGGGCGUUUUGAUCUGCCAGCCUGAUGAUUACCUUUGCACUAAGAAUGGAGAUCUAAAUACACUUCAUCGUUGAAGCUGGCUUGGCCGCUGUGGUGGAUUAAAUGCUCCAUCUGUUCCCAAAUAGAUGUGUAAUUCUCUCUUAGGAGAGAAUGGAUCCAUCCAUGCAUGCUUCACUCUGAUUUUGUUCCACCUAGCUGGCUGAGCAUGCUCCGGUGAGUGCUUGUGUAGAUGCAAAAAUUAUGAAGGCUUUUAGGUUUUGGCAUAUGCAUGCGGUUCCCCUGUAGUACUUUUGCAUUAUGUGCUCUAGUUAGGUGGUUGUGAAGUAAUGAGUCAACUAGUACAAAUUUCAAUGUAUAAUGUCUUGCCGAAAGUUAUGAAGUUUUGGUUUCACUUUUUUUAAUUAGGAAUUAGUGUUUCAUCUCUGUAUCGGGGCAUUCUUUUCAACCAGCCUGAUGAUUACUAUUGUUUGCAUUAAGAACGGGGAUCUGAAUGCAACUUCCCUAGUCGAAGCCUGCUUGGCCUCUCUGGUGGAUGUUCUGCUGCUGCUGCUAGUACUACUGAUCCAUUCCACCCCCACCCCCCCCCCCCUCUCUCCCUGACCUUGUCUGUGUGCGCGCUUGCGUACAUGUGUUUGUGUGUAUGUGUGAUUUUCCGUCAACCAAGCUGGCUUAGCAGGCUCCGGGGAAUGUAUAUGUAGAUGCAAGAACUAUGAAGGUUUGGCAGAUGAAAAGAAUGCUCCCCUAGCCAAAUGAUUUUAUUAAUGAGUAAUCUGUCACUGCACCUUAUGUGGAACAAGAUGAGCCCCCUCACUAGCUGAUUCCAGUUGGUACCGCGGUGGCGUGAUGGCCUUGGGAAUCUCCAGUGCUAAUCUCAGUUGAUUUUCCCUUCGUUUCUUUCUUGCAAAAGUGUCUCUUUUCUUUUGUUUCAUGUUCUUGGGGAUUUGGUAAGAUGUAUGUUCUGGUCUUAAAUAUUUUGAGCAAAUCGCUGUGAAGGACACUUAAAUUGAGGCACUUCAUCAGGACUUUCUUCAUGAUUUUGAGGUCAUGGAUCGAUGAACUAGUAGAAAUGCAUAACUCCUUCGGAAAGCUUUACAGUUUUAGUCUCAUCUCUGAGACUAGUAGAUAAUUGUUUUGUUUAUCUCAUGGGGGGUAUUGUGAUCUGCCAGCCUGAUGAUUAGCAUUGUUUGCGCUAAGAACGAAGAUCUGAAUGUGCAUCGCUGUUGAAGCCCACUUGAUCGCUGUGUCCAUCAUGCAAGCCUAGGCAGGCAGGAUCACCCAAGCUCAGCUUGUUGAAAGCCCUAAAACGCACAUACACACAUACAUGCAUGUCCCCCCUGCUCCUCUUCCCCUCUUCCACUGAGCAGGUCAAGUGGGCUCCAGGGAACGCAUGUGUAGAUUCAAAAGUUAUGAAGGAUUUGGUAGGUUUAAAGAAUGCCCCUCCAAAAUCCGCAUAACUUGUUAGUCUAUCAAGUUCUUGAGCACCAAAAUGUGUUUGAUUGAAGUUUGGGUUCACGAAGCUGUUCUGUUUUUCUAGUUGUUUAUAUUGCAGUAAUGGGCCUACCCCAACUUGCUUGGCACUAAAAGGCUUUGUUGUUGUAUAUUCUAGUAAUGGUUUUGCAAUGUUCCAUAAGAUUGGAUUGCGAGUUUCAAUAUUUCACCACAUGGUUGAAAUUGGCAGAUGAUGAGAAGUAAGACAAGGAUAUCUGCAGUGCACCUGAUUCAGAGGGGACAAUAGCAUGAUGACUCUGUCUAGGGGAAUCUCUGAUGCUUACCAAUUAUUUAUUUAUUUUUUGAAGCUAUAAAGCUAAAAGCUUACGGCAUAGAUGAGAUUGAUUCAUGUUAAACUAUUUUAGCACCUAGCUAUCAAAUGUAUAAUUCUUUUAAUUAGAGUAAGACCAGUUUUUUUUAUAUACUUUAUUCGUAGUAGUUUUUUUUUUCUUCCUUUCAAAGUCAUUUGUUGUGUCAUUUGUGAGAUAAGUUUGUGUCAUGGGGGUUUUCAUGAUCUGUCUGCCUGAUGAUUACAGUUGUUUGCAUUAAGAACGGAGAUCUUAAUGCAUAUCUCCGUGGAAGCCUGCUUGGCUGCUCUGUGGAUGGCAGAUACUCCCUCCAGUCACAAAUACUCCCUCUGAUUCAAAAUAUAAGUUCAUCCUCUCUCUGAUUCUCUUCCACUAAGUAGGCUAGUAGACUCCGGGGAAUGCAUGUAUAGAUGCAAGAAUUAUGAAGGCUUUGGCAAAUUGAAAGAAUGCCCCCACUCGAUUGAUGUGAUGUAUUCAUUGAGUUCUUGAUAGCUACUCCCUACAAAUUUAUGUCUGAUGUUAGUUUGGUCUUUGGUGUUGAUGAUGUACUCUGCUUGUUAUUCACUACUUAUUUUGAAUUGAAAGUCUAACUUGCUUC